UUGUAGUGGAGCUAGACAGUGUUAGUUGUUGUCAGGACCUCGUUGAGGAGCAAGGAUCUGGAAGGAUACGCUCAUUGCACUGCCAGAGAUGCUGAAGCCGCUGGUGCUGGUAGGAGCGACGCUGACGGUCUGCUGCGCCAUCAUCGUCCACGACCCUCCGGAGCAGCUCUACGACUGGUACUACGCUGGUCCCGAGUUCGGGUUCAUCCCCGUAGCUAGGGUACGCCCUGUGUACUCCGUCGCAAGAGCCAUCCUCCCUGGCAGAGAGCACGAACCUGACACAUAUGACCUACACGGCCUCUACCAUCCAUGACGAUAACCUUGUAUUGUAAUUUAUUUCUUAUCUAUUUUGAUUUAUGUUUUAUGAAGUCUUUGAACAAUCCUAUAGCCAUAUUACCAGAGUAAGAAGAUGAAAAAUAUUAUAUUUGAUUUUCACUAAUGUUGUAAAUUGUGACGUGUUAUAUUUUGUGAGUUUAAAACCUAUUUUCGUAUUUUUUGUCCCUCUAAAUUAACUGGAAUUAAUGUUUAAUACGUCUUUGUAUUGACUGAAGUUUCUAUUCUCGUCAGAUGGCAGGCUAUAUCAAAACUGUAUUACUGAUGUUGAAUACCAGACAAAUUGUGAUGGAAGUAUUUCACUUUUAAAUCAGAUAUCCCACACAGAUCACAUAUUAUAUAUUUAAUAUAGUUUUAAAAUAUUUAUCUAACUUUAUAGCCUUGUAUAAGUGAUUUUGCAAAGGAGAUCAUUAAAUUCCUUUGAAUUUCUGAUCCCAUCACAUAGCUAAUAAUUCAGUACUAACUAUUUGUUUACAUGCAAAUAAUGUAUUGUGGUACUGUAUCAUAAGGCUUUUUACUGCAUUUGUACCAUCACGUUGUGAACAGUAUAAAUAUAUUGCUGGCUUCUUAAACACUGAAAACAAAAGUGAAAUUUGACUCCAUUACUUUUAAGAUAUAAUUAAUUAAUAUACUGUAAAAAUGUAUUAUUUGUAAAUAUACUUUUUAUUUAUAA